UACAGAGGGUGCAAGCGUUGUUCGGAAUUAUUGGGCGUAAAGCGCGUGUAGGCGGCUUUGCAAGUCGGAUGUGAAAGCCCUCGGCUCAACUGAGGAAGUGCGCCCGAAACUGCAGAGCUUGAGUACCGGAGAGGAUGGCGGAAUUCCCCAAGUAGAGGUGAAAUUCGUAGAUAUGGGGGAGGAACACCGGUGGCGAAGGCGGCCAUCUGGACGGAUACUGACGCUGAGACGCGAAAGCGUGGGUAGCAAACAGG
rnacentral:rRNA from 1 species